GGUCUCAAAUCAGGCAGACCUGUGGAGUUCCCUCAUCAAACUCUGCAGAUGAGAAAAAUUGCUGGUUGGAGCUGCUGCUUGUGGGCUUCAUAUAGGAAUUUGGUUUGCCAAAACCUGAGAGCUGGUUGCUGCAAACCCCUCCCUUCUCUGUCUGCUUCCCAAGGGGUCAGACCCCCCAGAUUUUCCCACAAUCCCUGAGGGGCAAAACUGGAGUGACCCACUCUCAAGACGUGGCCCAUGAUGCUGGGGAGCUGGAUGUCCGCCAAGGGCUCUCUUACUGCUGGAACCAUAGGCUCAGGACACAAUUGGAAAUAUUGAUUAUAUUACCAAGGCUUCGACUGAAAUGCCAUAUUUGAGAGACAUGCGUAGAAUCAGAGAUGACCACACCCCCUUAAGGAAAUAGGGUUGACUUCAUGGAGACAAUGCAAGCCCUUGGAAAAAUAAGCCUAGUACCUUGUUUCAGUGUUCCCAGCAACCUUACCAGGAAAAUCCAGACCUUGAGAUGUUUGCAGACCAGAGCAGUUGUAUGGAUUAAGGUCAAUGAAGAGCUGGAUACAGUGGUGACCUAUCAGCUAUUGUCUACUGCCAAGGACACCAUAAAAUGAACAGAGUGAGCCCAAGAGAAUAAUAAGGCAGCUCAAGCCACCAAGCUGGCAGCCCAUACAGUCUUCAAAACCCAGUAUAAUGGCUUUAGUACCAGACACUAACGAGAACUAAAGAAUGGGGAAUGAGAUACCAUGCUGGCACUAAAGCCAGCUUAAAAUAUAAUUCACAAAAGGUAAUCCUUAUUCCAGAACAUCUUCUGGAAAAAAUAAGUAGCCAUAUUUAUCAAAGCACCUAUUAAAAUUAAGAUGCCACAUUUCAAAGGAUUCAGAAAUAGAUCGUGGAUCCCAAUCUUCAGAGACUGUUGUAAAGAUAGUCCAAAAUAUGACAUUUGUGCUAAAAAAUAAUCCUAAAAUGGGGGGCUUCCAUCAGUUCUCAAAGGUAUACAACUUAGAGACACCAAAUCUGGAAAAGACUGGUAGGUAGAUUUUAUCAUGAUUCCAAAAAAGCAAGUUGAUGCACCCCACAGAUGUGCCCUCAUACUGCCUGAAUCCUAGAGACUUGAUGUUAUCAAAGACCUGGAAGAGCAAGCACCCAGAGGUCCAACUCCAACCUCCUUGGACAGAACCUUAUGAGAUGUUACUGACCACACAUUCUUCAGUGAAACUAAAGGGAAUUGAGCUGUGGAUUUAACACACUCUAAUUAAACUGGUUCUAUGAGAAUCCACAGGUCCCAUACACACUGCUUGCAAGGAGAACAUGGAAGGAAACCCUGCUUGGACCAACUAGCCUCUGACAUACCUGAAACUACUAUUUAGGAGAGCUGGUCGGAAGAAAUCAGUAAGUCUCAAAAGUAUUGAUCCUUGUGAAUUAACAGGAGUGCUAUGUGCAAUCCCAGGUUAUAUUUUUGUUUGUGGGUUUAAAUAUUUCCCUUGGUAAUAUAAAUAUUUAAACAGCUGGAGCAUGAUAAAAAGAUUUAGACUCUUUGGCCAAGUAGUUUGAGAUAAUAGAAUUAUUUUAGAUUAUAGUUUGGCAGAACAAGGAGUUGUUUGUGCAGUAGCUAAUUCGUCGUACUACAAGCUAUUUAGUUACAACAAAUCUACCCUAAGGCCCUAGAUUCAGAUCUAGAACUAGUUUUCAGGAUACCUUAAGGAAUUAGGUUUUAGUAUUCAAAUGUGAAAUGUCCAUAUUCUUAAUUCUCUCUUGCUAUUAGUCAUAAAAUAUAGAAUGUUGUAGAAGAACUAUUAACCAAAUAACAAAAAUGUUGGUAAUACAGAAUGUUGGGUCUCAACCUAGAACUAAAGAAUAUUUCUAAAUGGGUAUAUUCCUCUAAACUCAAUCUUUACCCCAUUUCAGCAAGAAAUUAGAGCCAUCAUUGUCCCAGGUCCCUCAAGAAUGAGGAAUGAUCAAAGAUAGAAAGGAUUGAAACUGGUAAAUCAAAGCAUUAAUGGGGCUGAUAAGAACAACUACAACUUUCCACCCAAACCCCUUUUUGAUUAAAUUUCUCUGACUCCCCUCCUUCAAAAGAGGGAUUAUAGACCUACUCUCCUAUCUUUUCAUUUAGCUGCCUCUAAAAUAAACCCUUUUGUUGCUGCAUAGUCUUAUGUUUCAUUGAUUAGCUUUAAUCUAUGUCCAGCAAAUGAACUUGGGCUUUGUUACAAGGGCAUCGUACUAAAUGAAGUCAGUAAGACAGGGAAAGACAAAUAUCAUAUGACCUUACUUAUAUGUGGAAUGUAAAAAGCAAAAACAAAAACACUCAACUCUUAGAUGUAGAAAACAAAUUAGUGGUUGCCAUAAGCAUGAGUUGGGGAGUGGUGAAAUUGGUGAAGGAGAUCAAAAGUUACAAACUUCCAGUAUAAAGUAAAUAAGCCAUAGGGAUAUAAUGUAUAGCAUAGUGAUUGCAGCUUACAGUACUGUUUUCGUAUAAUUGAAAGCCCCUGAAGGAGUAGAUUCUAUAACUUAUCACAAGAAGAAAUUUUGAAACGUGUGGUGCCAAAUGUUAAUUAUUAUUGUGGUCUUUUCACAAUAUAUAUGAAUAUAUAAUCAUUAUGUUU